CUAACACAUGCAAGUCGAACGAGGGCUUCGGCCCUAGUGGCGCACGGGUGAGUAACGCGUGGGAACCUGCCCUGUGGUACGGAACAACUCCGGGAAACUGGAGCUAAUACCGUAUGUGUCCUGCGGGACAAAGAUUUAUCGCCAUGGGAUGGGCCCGCGUAGGAUUAGCUUGUUGGUGGGGUAACGGCCUACCAAGGCAACGAUCCUUAGCUGGUCUGAGAGGAUGAUCAGCCACACUGGGACUGAGACACGGCCCAGACUCCUACGGGAGGCAGCAGUGGGGAAUAUUGGACAAUGGGCGCAAGCCUGAUCCAGCAAUGCCGCGUGAGUGAUGAAGGCCUUCGGGUUGUAAAGCUCUUUCGCACGCGACGAUGAUGACGGUAGCGUGAGAAGAAGCCCCGGCCAACUUCGUGCCAGCAGCCGCGGUAAUACGAAGGGGGCUAGCGUUGUUCGGAAUUACUGGGCGUAAAGGGCGCGUAGGCGGUACUUCAAGUCAGGCGUGAAAGCCCCGGGCUCAACCUGGGAACCGCGCUUGAGACUGGAGAACUAGAGUUCGGGAGAGGAUGGUGGAAUUCCCAGUGUAGAGGUGAAUUCGUAGAUAUUGGGAAGAACACCGAUGGCGAAGGCAGCCAUCUGGACCGACACUGACGCUGAGG
rnacentral:rRNA from 1 species